CGGUGAUGUCACGUGGUAGGAGGAUAAACAUGCUGAGGUCGUUAUUGACAUAUGGAAGCUCAACAACAUCAGUCUGGACUGAUUCUAUGACUGGGAGAGGAGAGGCUGGAGCUUACCUUCAGUCUGUUCUUCAACCCUGGAGUUGAUCUCUCUUCUGAUUUCGUUUGCUGCUCCCACAAAGUCAACUGCUUGUGGCUCUGCAUUGUAGUAUUUCUUGGCUAACUCAGAAGUCCACUUGGAAAGACAAAUAUCCACUCAAAAGACAAUCAGGAGGAACAAAUGAAAACUCAUUGAAUCAGGAUGGUUACAGUGUUGCACCACCCCAACUUCUGCAUGGGAGGAAGACUGCUGCUCUGGGUGUCUCUAAGGUUUCUGCAGUUCACACGAAGGGUAGGCUGAAUUUAUACUCUGUCUUGCCAGUUCUGCAAAGGUUCUUAUGACUCAUAAGUAUGCAAUUUAUUUUGCCC